GGCGGUGUUUGGUACACAGAGGGUGGGUUCGACUCCCACACAAUCAAAAUAUUGUAACCGUGGUGGAAAGUAAGAGAGUGCCGGUUCGAAUCCGGCCGCCGCCA
rnacentral:tRNA from 1 species